GACGAACGCUGGCGGCGUGCUUAACACAUGCAAGUCGAACGGACAGACAGAGAGCUUGCUCUCUUGAAGUUAGUGGCGAACGGGUGAGUAACGCGUAAUCAACCUGCCCUUCAGAGGGGGAUAACAACGGGAAACCGUUGCUAAUACCGCGUACGAUUCAUGAACGGCAUCGUUUAUGAAUGAAAGGUGGCCUCUAUGUAUAAGCUAUCGCUGAAGGAGGGGCUUGCGUCUGAUUAGCUAGUUGGAGGGGUAACGGCCCACCAAGGCAAUGAUCAGUAGCCGGUCUGAGAGGAUGAACGGCCACAUUGGGACUGAGACACGGCCCAAACUCCUACGGGAGGCAGCAGUGGGUAAUCUUCCGCAAUGGACGAAAGUCUGACGGAGCAACGCCGCGUGAGUGAUGAAGGUCUUCGGAUUGUAAAGCUCUGUUAAUCGGGACGAAAGAGUUCUGCGUGAAUAAUGCAGAAAAGUGACGGUACCGGAAUAGAAAGCCACGGCUAACUACGUGUCAGCCGCCGCAGUAA
rnacentral:rRNA from 1 species